GUGGUUAAACAUGCAUCUCUUAGACAUUUGUGGUGCGCCUGAGGGCCGCGAAAUAUUGAAAAUAUAAAGCAUGACACGGGAACGAUAUGAAUCUGCCGCAUUUUCUUACGGCUAUUGACUGAGGGAGUACAUCUGGCAACAGUUCUUUUUCCUUUCUUUUUUUCUCUUAGGGCCACCAGGGCUUCCCUUUCCCAGUUCAUCGUCUUGCAAAGGCUAAAAAUUUAUUUGGCCCGUGCAAGGCCUGGAAAGAAGUAGAGGCGGAAUUAGGCAGGCCGUGACGCGGUUGUGGGCUAACCGAUUAUUUUUACGUACAUGGGCCUGUCUUGCACUGCGAGUACGGCCUGCAAUUCCCACGCCAUCACUCAUCACGGGCUCAAGUCCUAAUGGGCUCCAUCCGACUCCCUUUCUUUAUCGUCUCCCAUAGACCCUUUCCACCUCGACCUAAAAAAGCUGAACUGAACCAUGAUCAGAUGGAGUUGAAACUUCCGCUCAAAAAAAAAAAGAUGGAGUUGAAACCUGAUAAAAAGUGACGCGUUCUCUGUUAGCUACUGUAUAUUUGUAAUGCUCAGAUUUGAGAUAUGUCCGUGU
rnacentral:lncRNA from 1 species